rnacentral:rRNA from 1 species
UACGUAGGGUGCAAGCGUUGUCCGGAAUUAUUGGGCGUAAAGAGCUCGUAGGCGGUCUGUUGCGUCGGCUGUGAAAACCCGGGGCUCAACCCCGGGCCUGCAGCCGAUACGGGCAGACUAGAGUUCGGCAGGGGAGACUGGAAUUCCUGGUGUAGCGGUGAAAUGCGCAGAUAGUCAGGAGGAACACCGGUGGCGAAGGCGGGUCUCUGGGCCGAUACUGACGCUGAGGAGCGAAAGCGUGGGGAGCGAACAGG